CACACUUUGCAAUUUUAAUGAUAAACUGACCCAUGAGCUUAUUCGAUCUCUCUCAAACUCAUUCGUAUUUUAAUAUUGUGAUGCUAAAACAUUGAUAAAAAAAAAUAUUUUGAUGUUUAAUAAUUUAUAAAUUGAUCUCUCACUAUUUAGAUUUCUAACAUAUAUAUUUUUUUAAAUUUAAAAUCCACUUUUGACCAAAAAAUUAACAAGACGAUUAAGGGUGGGUUUGGAUGGGCGGUGGGGUGUGGUACAAUGCAUUUA
rnacentral:lncRNA from 1 species